rnacentral:miRNA from 1 species
UGUAUGUAUGUAUGUAUGUAUACAUGUACAUACAUACAUACAUACAUGUAUGUAUGUAUG